rnacentral:rRNA from 1 species
AUUGAACGCUGGCGGCAGGCUUAACACAUGCAAGUCGAACGAGUGGCGGACGGGUGAGUAAUGCCUGGGAAUCUAGCUUAUGGAGGGGGAUAACUACGGGAAACGGUAGCUAAUACCGCAUCCCAUCGGAUGAGCCCAAGUGGGAUUAGGUAGUUGGUGAGGUAAAGGCUCACCAAGGCGACAGUCUCUAGCUGGUCUGAUAGGAUGACCAGCCACACUGGGACUUAGGCACGGCCCAGACUCCUACGGGAGGCAGCAGUGGGGAAUAUUGCGCAAUGGGGGCAACCUGACGCAGCCAUGCCGCGUGCAUGAAGAAGGCCUUCGGGUUGUAAAGUUCUUUUGGUGGCGAGGCGUUAACUACAGAAGAAGCACCGGCUAACUCCGUGCCAGCAGCCGCGGUAAUUC